UCCGGCAGCUAGCUCUCUGCAACUCUCAAAUGGUCUCCAACUGAAGCUAAGCAGGGCUGCGCCUGGUCAGUACCUGGAUGGGAGACCACAUGAGAAAGCUAGGCUGCUGCCGGAA
rnacentral:rRNA from 1 species